GGAGCCGUCGUUCAAUGGUAGGACACGACUCUUAUAAAGUCGACACGGGGGUUCGAUUCCCUCCGGCUCCA
rfam:Candidatus Woesebacteria bacterium RIFCSPHIGHO2_12_FTLL_46_16 rifcsphigho2_12_scaffold_12197, whole genome shotgun sequence.